rnacentral:rRNA from 1 species
AUACGUAGGGAGCGAGCGUUGUCCGGAAUUACUGGGUGUAAAGGGAGCGUAGGCGGGAGUGCAAGUCAGAUGUGAAAUACAUGGGCUCAACCCAUGGGCUGCAUUUGAAACUGCAUUUCUUGAGUGAAGUAGAGGUAAGCGGAAUUCCUGGUGUAGCGGUGAAAUGCGUAGAUAUCAGGAGGAACACCGGUGGCGAAGGCGGCUUACUGGGCUUUUACUGACGCUGAGGCUCGAAAGCGUGGGGAGCAAACAGGAUUAUAUACCCUGGUAGUCCACGCGGUAAACGAGGAUUACUAGGUGUGGGGGGACUGACCCCUUCCAUGCCGCAGUUAACACAAUAAGUAAUCCACCUGGGGAGUACGGCCGCAAGGUUGAAACUCAAAUGAAUUGACGGGG